rnacentral:rRNA from 1 species
GAUUAAGUUAUUAAGGGCGCACGGUGGAUGCCUUGGCACUAGAAGCCGAUGAAGGACGUUACUAACGACGAUAUGCUUUGGGGAGCUGUAAGUAAGCUUUGAUCCAGAGAUUUCCGAAUGGGGAAACCCAGCACGAGUUAUGUCGUGUUAUCUGCAUGUGAAUACAUAGCAUGCAAGAAGGCAGACCCGGAGAACUGAAACAUCUUAGUACCCGGAGGAAGAGAAAGAAAAAUCGAUUCCCUGAGUAGCGGCGAGCGAAACGGGAAGAGCCCAAACCAAUAAGCUUGCUUAUUGGGGUUGUAGGACACUCUG